CUGAACACUAGUGCUGUUUUCUUUCCAUGUAAGUCACCUGCAAAAGUCCAGAGGGUCUGUGAAAAUGGAGUAGCAAUAACCAUUGUGACAUGGGGUUGGAGGGAGGUGGUGAUGGGAUGAAAAAGCUUCACACUGUACUUCUUGACCAAGAAUCCACAAAAGUUACUGAUGUGCUUGUUUUUAAUCAAGCUCUAAAUUUGACAUGAAGGCACGUCAAGCUGAAAUCUGAUGGAUAAAAACAUCAAGGAAGCAAGAAUGGCAAAGCCAGUCAUCAUAACUUCAUCAUGAACCAGUGAAGGCAUCAAAAAUGGAUUUUUCUGGCAGUUACUAGAAUAAUAGGUCAUGGGUAACCACAUGUGAAAUUGGAAAGAAACUGAGAAAGGAGAAUCAAUUUCAGCUCCAGAAAGUUAAGCUGCCCCUUCAAGAUUGGGCUUCACCCUAGGGGAGAGCACAGAGAUUAUAUAGGAGAAAAAACAUUCACACCAAUUCCUCCCGGGGAGAGGAGGUAAUGAAUGAGAGAGGAAUUCAAAAAGUUUUGGAAACUGCUCCGUAUUAAGGGAGCAAUAAUAAAAUAACUACCAGAACAUUCCAAUAAAUGAUUUCUAAAGGGGAUGUAAAAAAAUGGGCUCUUUCCCUCAAACAUUUCUCCUUAGACUUCAAGGAAAAGAAUCUCCUCUCCUAUACCCCCUCCCCCCCAUACAUAUGUGAAUAUAUAUUUUAAGAUCUCAUACUUUUUGAUUGAUAUUUCAAGGAAAAAACCUGAAGUACUUCUUCCUAGCCACUGGAAGCUUAAAAAUAUAUGCAAUUUAAUUUAAUCUUUUCUUAGACUGCACAUAUCCUUUUCUCCUAAAUUUGUCUUUGAGUGGGGGGGGGGAGGGACAGA